GUUUGCCGCAUAUAUGACUGAUGGAUUGUAACAAAUGAGGUCUUCGAAAUAACCUUUCGGUGAGGUAGCACUACAGAUCAUCAGUGUGUCAGCCUGCUACAGGGAGACACCGUCGAGAUUUGACCGAAACUCAUCGAUAACCCUAGCUAACAAACAAACAAACUAUGUGCUACAUGCGAGAGAAGGCGGGGGUUGAGGAGUGCUCGCUGGCGCAAAUGGUUAAGGAACGGGCUAACUACGACCAUCAGCUCUUGGCUAAUGAGGUCACGUGUUGCAAUCCAGCUCUCGCUAACUGUUGAUGGAAACGGAACCUGUUCACUGUCAUAUAAUUGAAAAUUUCUUGAGCAAGGCGUUAAACACCCAUGAAAUAAAAUAGAUAUACCAUUCAUUGUUUUCGAAAUACUUUCAGAGAACGCCACAGGGAGCUGUUCACCUUUAAAACACUCUGUCGUUGCCUCGGGGUUUAAAGGUUAUGUCAACUAUUUGUCAUCGAGGGUACCAAGUACUCUACCUUACAUCAUUGAUGGAGACGAAACGUUUUUGCUGCAUCAUCUGGAUAAGACCAAGAAGGACAACAACGUGCAGCUUUCCGUUGAACUGAGAUCGAAGUCUUGUCACUGUCUAAAGGGGAUAGAUAUCAAGUCAGUGCAAAUUGGAGGGAAAAGACACGCAAUGAUGACGAAGUUCACUCUGGAAUAUUACGAUGGUGGCUGGAACUACAUCCACAAUCCAGACGGCAAAAUGAAGCUUUUUUCGGUCGCAGGACAAUUGGCUCAUGAUUCUAUGGUUCCGUUUCAUCGACGUAUUUACACGACAGCGCUCAGAGUGUUUCCUCAAGAGUGGAUGAGGCUUCCGUGGGUUAGAGUUCAGCCUGUCGACUGUGGCUGACUUCACCUGAAGGCCAUAUCCAAUCUGAUAGACUAUACUAUACAUAUUUACAGACAAACAGACGGUUGAUACUGUGUGGAAAAUUGUCAUUAAUCAUGAUGUUGUUUUUUUUUGUCACUACAAAAGCUG